rnacentral:rRNA from 1 species
CCUACGGGAGGCAGCAGUGAGGAAUAUUGGUCAAUGGCCGGGAGGCUGAACCAGCCAAGUCGCGUGAGGGAAGACGGCCCUACGGGUUGUAAACCUCUUUUGUCAGGGAGCAAGGUGCAGGUCGGGACCUGCUGUGAGAGUACCUGAAGAAAAAGCAUCGGCUAACUCCGUGCCAGCAGCCGCGGUAAUACGGAGGAUGCGAGGGUUAUCCGGAUUUAUGGGGGUGAAAGGGUGCGCAGGCGGAGGCACAAGUCAGCGGGAAAGGCGCGGGGCUCAACCCCGCGCCGCCGUUGAAACUGUGUCCGUUGAGUGCGCGAAGGGUAGGCGGAAUGCGUGGUGUAGCGGUGAAAUGCAUAGAUAUCACGCAGAACUCCGAUCGCGAAGGCAGCCUACCGGCGCGCAACUGACGCUCAUGCACGAAAGCGUGGGUAUCGAACAGGAUUAGAUACCCUGGUAGUC